rnacentral:rRNA from 1 species
AGAGUUUGAUCAUGGCUCAGAGUGAACGUUGGCGGCGUGGAUUAGGCAUGCGAGUCGAGCGAUCGUAGCAAUACGGGAGCGGCAAACGGGGUAGGAAUACAUCGGAACGUACCUUUUGGUUGAGAAUAGCGUUGGGAAACUGACGGUAAUACUCAAUAAAGUCGAGAGACCAAAGGUUUACUGCCGGAAGAGCGGCCGAUGCGAUAUUAGGUAGUUGGUGGGGUAAUGGCCUACCAAGCCUGAGAUGUCUAGGGGGUGUGAGAGCAUGGCCCCCACCACUGGGACUGAGAUACUGCCCAGACACCUACGGGUGGCUGCAGUCGAGGAUCUUCGUCAAUGGGCGAAAGCCUGAACGAGCGACGCCGCGUGCGGGAUGAAGGCCCUUGGGUUGUAAACCGCUGUCAGGGGGGAUGAAACCGUAAGGUUGACAGAGCCCCAGAGGAAGCACGGGCUAAGUUCGUG